GAUGAAUGCUGGCGGCGUGCCUAACACAUGCAAGUCGAGCGGCAGCGCGGUCUUCGGACUGGCGGCGAGCGGCGGACGGCUGAGUAACGCGUGGGAACAUACCCCAAAGUGAGGGAUAACCGCCCGAAAGGGUGGCUAAUACCGCAUAUGAUCUUCGGAUUAAAGGAUUUAUCCGCUUUGGGAAUGGCCUGCGUACGAUUAGAUAGUUGGUGAGGUAAAGGCUUACCAAGUCUACGAUCGUUAACUGGUCUGAGAGGGUGAUCAGUCAGACUGGAACUGAGACACGGUCCAGACUCCUACGGGAGGCAGCAGUGAGGAAUUUUCCACAAUGGGCGAAAGCCUGAUGGAGCAACGCCGCGUGCAGGAUGAAGGCCUUCGGGUUGUAAACUGCUUUUAUAAGUGAAGAAUAUGACGGUAACUUAUGAAUAAGCACCGGCUAACUACGUGCCAGCAGCCGCCGUAA
rnacentral:rRNA from 1 species